rnacentral:rRNA from 1 species
UACGGAGGGUGCAAACGUUGCUCGGAAUUACUGGGCGUAAAGGGCGCGUAGGCGGCCCGCUAAGUCGAACGUGAAAUCCCCGGGCUCAACCCGGGAACUGCGUCCGAUACUGGCAGGCUUGAAUCCGGGAGAGGGAUGUGGAAUUCCAGGUGUAGCGGUGAAAUGCGUAGAUAUCUGGAGGAACACCGGUGGCGAAGGCGGCAUCCUGGACCGGUAUUGACGCUGAGGCGCGAAAGCUAGGGGAGCAAACGGG